rnacentral:rRNA from 1 species
GAGCAACCUGCCCCAGACUCUGGGAUAACUUCGGGAAACCGGAGCUAAUACCGGAUAUGACACGGAGAUGCAUGUCUACCGUGUGGAAAGUUUUUCGGUCUGGGAUGGGCUCGCGGCCUAUCAGCUUGUUGGUGAGGUAAUGGCUCACCAAGGCGACGACGGGUAGCCGGCCUGAGAGGGCGACCGGCCACACUGGGACUGAGACACGGCCCAGACUCCUACGGGAGGCAGCAGUGGGGAAUAUUGCACAAUGGGCGAAAGCCUGAUGCAGCGACGCCGCGUGAGGGAUGACGGCCUUUGGGUUGUAAACCUCUUUCAGCAGGGAAGAAGCGCAAGUGACGGUACCUGCAGAAGAAGCACCGGCUAACUACGUGCCAGCAGCCGCGGUAAUACGUAGGGUGCGAGCGUUGUCCGGAAUUAUUGGGCGUAAAGAGCUUGUAGGCGGUCUGUCGCGUCUGCUGUGAAAAUCCGGGGCUCAACCCCGGACUUGCAGUGGGUACGGGCAGACUAGAGUGUGGUAGGGGAGACUGGAAUUCCUGGU